ensembl:lncRNA
UCAUGUUAAUAUUUAUUUAAAGACAUUUCAAUUUGUGGAAAAAAUUGCAGAGGGGAAUAUAAAACAAAUGUCUAAUCUACCAAAACUUGUUGACCCCCUGUUGAAGACCUCCGCCUUACAUCAUCAUUUAGAAGCAGGGGUAAUACGACACAUUUCUUGCGUCGUAUGCCUACAGGUUGGACCGUGUGGUCAUUGGUUGUGCAACCCGCAACCUUCUAGCUGAAAGUAGACCAGCGUAAGAGCAACGUGACGCUUGUGGUUGCUAAGAAACAGCGUUGCUGAAGUGGAGAGGCAGGUGGAAAACAACGGAGCAGGAAAACAGUGAAGAACAAGAAAUGGGUGCAGCGUGGGACUUCUUAUAGAGAGGGAGGGGGUGAGAGAGAGGGAGGGAGACGGACAGAGAGUUAUGGGCCGGCUUCCUCCCACAAACAGCCUCACAAAGGCUAAUGAUGACCCGUCUCCACUGCUAGGCCUCUUCCGUCGUGGUAAUGCCAAUGAAAUACAAAAAGAGCACAAGGCGUGUGGACACAGCUCAUCUCUGACCAGCAUUUCUCCCGCCUUCGCCCGGUUUGGCCUCGACUACGUGAGCUGAAGCGGUCCUGAAAGUUACUCAAUCAGUUAGUGUUUCCUUCACACUUAAACUUUGAGGGGGGAAAUGAAUCCAAAUGCAACAUUUGUGUGUUUUGAAGGCAUGAGCUGCAACUGCUGCUGCUGUGGCUGUUGGGCUUCUAGAUGUUUCUUAGAGUUUUCUAAAAGGGUUAGGGUUAGGGUAUUUUGUAUUGUUAUGCCUGUCAUGUUUUUACUUUAAUGGAAUAUUUAUUAUUUAUUGAAGAUGAUUAAGAUGAUACAAUCUGUUCUGUAUUCCAUUGUUUUGUUUUAUUCUCCUUUCGAUAUGUUUUAUUGUCCUAUGUUUGAUUGUCUGAUGAUGUAUGGGCCUAGGUUCUGUAUCUCUAUUGUUAUUUUUUUUCUGCUUCAUCUUUCUAUAGUGAUCUAUGUGUAAACUGUGAGGGAUGAUUUGAAUCUUAUGCUCCAUGUAAAAAAUGAGAGAGACUUUUAGAAACCCUGUGUGGAACGUCAGAGACGAGGUGUUUAAUAGCUGGCAAAUGUGUCAGAUGGUUACUAUCUGUGAGUGUGCGUGUGUGUGUAUUCUUGCCUGAGAAAUGUGAAAGACUGCAUGAAAUAUUAAAAUACCUGUGUGUGUGUGUGUG